GUUCCUGGGAACAUUCAGAAGAAAGCAGGACUAUGAUCUUUAAUUAUAAACAUUGCUGGAUCUUUGGAGUGAUCUUUAGCGUUUUGUAAAUUUUGGUGAUAUCACAGCAGUUCCAGCAUCGAUCAUCAUCUGAGCAGAGGUCUAAUCAGCUAAACUAGCUAAACUAAUCAACUAAACGCAAUAGCAAACACCAGUGACACAACUGCAACAAAGAGAGACACAUCUUACAAUAAUGAAACACAGCUUGAGGUGUCUCAUUUUGUUUAUCAAAGACCAUGAGGAUGGAAAAAAAAUAAAAUGAAUUUUGUUUUAUGUGGGAAGUAUCAUGUGGUCUAAAUUGUUAAAAUAUGCCAGUAGUUUAACUUAUAUUAGUAACAUGCACUUAAUGUUGUAGUAGUGUCAACGAAUAACUAAAAAAUACAAAUAAUUG